UGGGGGAUAUUGCACAAUGGGCGAAAGCCUGAUGCAGCGACGCCGCGUGGGGGAUGAAGGCCUUCGGGUUGUAAACUUCUUUUGCUCUGAACAAGGCAUGCCUUUGGGGUGUGUUGAGUGUAGGGGUUGAUUAGCGCCGGCUAACUACGUGCCAGCAGCCGCGGUAAUACGUAGGGCGCGAGCGUUGUCCGGAAUUAUUGGGCGUAAAGGGCUUGUAGGUGGCUGGUUGCGUCUGUCGUGAAAGCUCAUGGCUUAACUGUGGGUUUGCGGUGGGUACGGGCGGGGUUGAGUGCAGUAGGGGAGGCGGGAAUUACGGGUGUAGCGGGGGAAUGCGCAGAUAUCAGGAGGAAUACCGGUGGCGAAGGCGGGUCUCUGGGCUGUUACUGACGCUGAGGAGCGAAAGCGUGGGGAGCGAACAGG
rnacentral:rRNA from 1 species